AACCCAUGCAUAAGACACUUUCGCAGUAAAUCCUUGAAUCUUUCCCAUGCUUCAUACAAGCUUUCAUCUUUCAUUUGCUUGAAUGAAGUUAGAUCAUUUUGAAAUU